CAAUAGCGUAUAUUAAAGUUGCUGCAGUUAAAAAGCUCGUAGUUGCAUUUCCGAGGCAAGGGAUUAGUCCGACCUUUGGUGGGUAUUUAAUCCUCUUGCCUCGUCCUUGAGUGGUACUUCUUGGUAUUAAGUUAUCGAGGAGAUAGCCGCUCAUCGUUUACUGUGAGAAAAUUAGAGUGUUCAAAGCAGGCUUAUGCCGUUGAAUAUAUUAGCAUGGAAUAAUAAGAUAGGACCUCGGUACUAUUUUGUUGGUUUGAGAACCAAGGUAAUGAUGAAUAGGGACAGUUGGGGGUAUUCGUAUUCAGUUGUCAGAGGUGAAAUUCUUAGAUUUACGGAAGACGAACUACUGCGAAAGCAUUUACCAAGGAUGUUUUCAUUAA
rnacentral:rRNA from 1 species